GAUGAAGAACGCAGCGAAAUGCGAUACUUGGUGUGAAUUGCAGAAUCCCGUGAACCAUCGAGUCUUUGAACGCAAGUUGCGCCCGAAGCCAUUAGGCCGAGGGCACGCCUGCCUGGGCGUCACACGUCGUUGCCCCCCCAUCUACUCCUUCGGGAUUGCGGGGGGCGGAUGAUGGCCUCCCGUGCGCCUCGUCGCGCGGUUGGCAUAAAUGCCAAGUCCUCGGCGACGCACGCCACGACAAUCGGUGGUUGCGAAACCUCGGUUGCCCGUCGUGUGCGGUCGUCGCGCAUCGAGGGCUCGAAAAAAUUGCCGGGCUCCGACUCGGCUUUCAACGCGACCCCAGGUCAGGCGGGGUUACCCGCUGAAUUUAAGCAUAUCAAUAAGCGGAGGA
rnacentral:misc_RNA from 1 species